rfam:Ixodes scapularis strain Wikel colony gcontig_1108379243120, whole genome shotgun sequence.
UUCCGAGAGGAUUGACAGGAGUUUUUUCGUGAUUUGGUGAAUGGUGGUGCAUGUCCGUUCUUAGUAGGUGGAGCGAUUUGUCUCGUUAAUUCCAAUAACGAACGAGACUCUAGUUAGAUAGGCGUGCAUGGUUUUCUGCACCUUGCACCCUUAUUAGAGGGACAAGCGGCUCCUAGCCGCACGAAACAGAGCAAUAACAAGUCUGUGAUGCCCUUAGAU